GUAUUGCUCCAGCUACCAGUAAUUCCACUAAACCACACUCUACAUAACUACAGCUGGACUAUAUUAACCAGCACCCAGGGACAGAGCACCACAUGGAAAGUAUGAGGGCUCAUGCAAUGCUGGCAAAAGGUUCCUCAGUCAUGGUUGCAUCUAGCCAAGCACAGUGCUUGAGCACGAGGCCGUCAUUGGGGGUUUUAAAUGUCUGCGCCAUCUAACAAAGCGGGAGCAGGCCCAUCACACAAACUUCCCAGAACUGCUGGACCUUGCUGAAUUGUUGGGUUGCUUGUGACUAUUUCACAAAGCUCAAGAUUGACAAGAACACAAACUACAGGUCCUACAUAAUAGUGGACGAAAUGUUGAAGAUUCUGGCUAAACUUGUGGAGGAGCCUAUCCUCAAUGUCAUGACAUCCAGACAUCUGUAGCCAUUGGCCUGGACGCUGAUGAAACUACAGAUAUGGCAACUAAUAAGCAGCUGGAUUUACAUGUCAGAUAAAUGGACCAAGAGGUUCAACUUUACAACCAGUUCCUGGACCUGGUGUCAGUCCCUGAUGGCAAGGCAGACACUCCUGCCAUCAAAGAGGUGCUGCACAUCAGAAAGAUACCAACAUAGAGAUUGUACGGCUUGGGCACUGAUAGAGCUGCAGUGAUGACUGGUAUGGACACAACACAAGGUCUUAGAAUUAAAUUAUUGAGUCAGCGAAACCUCAGCGCAGUGUUGGCUGCAUAGUCUGAGGAGGUGGAGGUGAACCGGUGCCCAACUGCUUAGGGCCACUAUGCUUUCUGUGCCAUGUACAGGUAGGCCUAAAUGUAUUAUAGAUUAUA